rnacentral:tRNA from 6 species
GAGCCCGUAGCUCAGCGGUAGAGCAUUCGCCUUUUAAGCGAGGGGCCCUGGGUUCGAAUCCCAGCGGGCUCACCA